CUUGUUACACCGUGACUAUGGUACAACUUGUUACAACUAGUUGUAACAAGUUGUACCAUAGUCACGGUGUAACAAGUUGUACCAUA